UACGGAGGGGGCUAGCGUUGUUCGGAAUUACUGGGCGUAAAGCGCGCGUAGGCGGAUCUGCAAGUCGGGGGUGAAAUCCCGAGGCUCAACCUCGGAACUGCCUUCGAUACUGCGGGUCUCGAGUCCGGGAGAGGUGAGUGGAAUUCCUAGUGUAGAGGUGAAAUUCGUGAGAUAUUAGGAAGAACACCGAGUGGCGAAGG
rnacentral:rRNA from 1 species